rnacentral:sRNA from 1 species
ACACGUGAAGGGAGGUGGUCCAACAGAUGAGUUUCACUUGGACGCGUGAGGUGACUGCCCGCUAGUCGCCCGAGAGCAUCGGACGGAUUGCCUUCCGGUCCCGCCGCUCAGCGGCAGCGAGACCCCGGCAGUCACCGCAGCCCGUGGGUGCCGUGCAUUCGUCCAGCACGGCGCGCCGACAUCCGGCAGCCCACGGGCUGUUCCAC